rnacentral:siRNA from 1 species
UAAAAGGGUAUUGUUGCAA